AACGAACGCUGGCGGCAUGCCUAACACAUGCAAGUCGAACGAGACCUUCGGGUCUAGUGGCGCACGGGUGCGUAACGCGUGGGAAUCUGCCCUUCGGUUGGGAAUAACUGAGAGAAAUUUCAGCUAAUACCUCAUAAUGUCUUCGGACCAAAGAUUUAUCGCCGAGGGAUGAGCCCGCGUAGGAUUAGGUAGUUGGUGGGGUAAUGGCCUACCAAGCCGACGAUCCUUAGCUGGUCUGAGAGGAUGAUCAGCCACACUGGGACUGAGACACGGCCCAGACUCCUACGGGAGGCAGCAGUGGGGAAUAUUGGACAAUGGGCGAAAGCCUGAUCCAGCAAUGCCGCGUGAGUGAUGAAGGCCUUAGGGUUGUAAAGCUCUUUUACCCGGGAUGAUAAUGACAGUACCGGGAGAAUAAGCUCCGGCUAACUCCGUG
rnacentral:rRNA from 1 species